AGUCUAAGGUUUGUUGAAGUUAGAAAACCGCUGCUGUAAUGAAUUUGAUCAGUCGGGAGAAAAUGUCCUUCCGUGUUGCUCCCUCGUGAGUGAUCAGUAGAAGAAAACGCUGAAAAGUGAUAAUGCUGUUAACUAAGUUUGGGAAAGACCCAUUUCUGUUUCCUUACAGGAGCAUCAGAAGUGCUACCAGGACUUUGGAGCCCAAAGACUUCGAGAAGAAGACACCUAUUCACCACACUCUUGCCUAGAAGACAACCAGAAAUAUUUGCCCACAUACACAGACACCUGCGGAAACCAGUACAGAACCCUCACCACUUAGCUUUUGCUAACAGCAUGCCUUGCCACUGAGUUUUCCUGAAGACUGUCCCAUCCAACCUGCCUCACUCCACAGGUCUCCCUCCAGAGUGAUUCCACAGAGGCCUCAUGGU